GCAGUCGUGGCCGAGUGGUUAAGGCGAUGGACUAGAAAUCCAUUUUGUCUCUCCGCACAGGUUCGAAUCCUGUCGACUGCG
rfam:Ixodes scapularis strain Wikel colony gcontig_1107728565308, whole genome shotgun sequence.